rnacentral:rRNA from 1 species
GAUGAACGCUGGCGGCGUGCCUAAUACAUGCAAGUCGAGCGAACAGAUAAGGAGCUUGCUCCUUUGACGUUAGCGGCGGACGGGUGAGUAACACGUGGGUAACCUACCUAUAAGACUGGGAUAACUUCGGGAAACCGGAGCUAAUACCGGAUAAUAUUUCGAACCGCAUGGUUCGAUAGUGAAAGAUGGUUUUGCUAUCACUUAUAGAUGGACCCGCGCCGUAUUAGCUAGUUGGUAAGGUAACGGCUUACCAAGGCGACGAUACGUAGCCGACCUGAGAGGGUGAUCGGCCACACUGGAACUGAGACACGGUCCAGACUCCUACGGGAGGCAGCAGUAGGGAAUCUUCCGCAAUGGGCGAAAGCCUGACGGAGCAACGCCGCGUGAGUGAUGAAGGUCUUCGGAUCGUAAAACUCUGUUAUUAGGGAAGAACAUACGUGUAAGUAACUGUGCACGUCUUGACGGCACCUAAUCAGAAAGCCACGGCUAACUACGUG